GACAGAGGGUGCAAGCAUUGCUCGGAAUUAUUGGGCGUAAAGGGUACGUAGGCGGGUAAGUAAGUUUAUGGUGAAAUCUCGAAAGGUAAAUUCGAAAGUGCUGUAAAUACUGCUUAUCUAGAGAAUGGGAGAGGUAAACGGAAUUUCUGUAGUAGGGGUCAAAUCCAUAGAUCACAGAAGGAACACCAAAGGCGAAGGCAGUUUACUGGAACAUUUCUGACGCUGAGGUACGAAAGCGUGGGGAGCAAAUAGG
rnacentral:misc_RNA from 1 species